rnacentral:tRNA from 1 species
GGGGGCAUGGCUCAGUGAUAGAACGCGUGCUCAGCGCGCACCAGGUCGUGGGUUCAAUUCCCAGUGCCUCCA